UUUGGAGUUGAUUAGGAUUUGAUUUAGGAUUAAGAUUAGGAUUUUUGAUUGAUUUAAGGUUUGGUUAGGAUUAGGAUUUUAUUAAGAUUAAGAUUAAUAUUUUAGAUUUGAUUUAAGAUUUGAUUAAGAUUAGGAUUUUAUUUAGGUUAAGAUUUGAUUAGGAUUUGUUUAAAAUUUGACUAAAAUUUAUUUAGGAUUUGAUUAGAAUUUGACUAGAAUUUUUCUAGGAUUUGAUUAGGAAUUAUUUAGGAUUUCUCUAAGAUUUGAUAAGGAUUUUAUUAGGAUUUGAUUAGAGUUUAUUUAGGAUUUGUUUAGGAUUUGAUUAGGAUUUAUUUAGAAUUUGAUUAGAAUUUGGUUAGGAUUUGUUUAGGAUUUGAUUAGAGUUUGAUUAGAAUUUGACUAAGAUUUGCUUAGGAUUGGUCUAGGAUUUGUCUAAGGUUUGAUUAGGGCUUAUUUAGGAAUUGAAUAGGAUUUGAUAAGGAUUUGAUCAAGGUUUAACUAAGAUUUAAUUAAGGUUUGA
rnacentral:lncRNA from 1 species